UGGUGUAGUUCGCAGUGGGAGGCGGCGUGGCCACGGAGGGCGCGGCCGGUGGUGCUCGCCGGGGAAUACGGGACCCCGGACGGUGCCAGGGCAGGCGCCAGGGAUUCCAAGGGCGCAACUUGGGGCGUGCCAGGAGCCUGAUGGAUGACGACCUGGAGGAACUCAAGGGGUGCGUGGAUCUGGGGUUCGAUUUGCAGCAGCAGCAGACCCCCCGCCGGUGAGCCAACCUCCCGGCGGCGCUUCUCCCUCCCAUCCUGUCACCGAUCUACUCUCUCUCCUCACACCCUCUCUCUUCUUUCUCGAAUGGUGCCGCCCCCCAUGGAGCUCAGAACUGCCUCCGUCGCACCAACGCCCGCCAUUGCGACUUCGCCUCUAUACAUCUCUGUGCUUGUCUGAUUUGGAGUUCCCUUCGCUCCACCUUCCCUCUUGCGGGAUUAAUUCCUUCAUUUUGUUCCCCUCGCAAGCUUCUUGAUUUCUGAUGCGGCAUAGUAGCCUGUGUAUAUAAAUUGAUUGAAGUGGAUGCAGAGGAGCGAGGUGGGACUAAAUCACGACACGGGAGAUUGAGAAGGUUACGGCGGAGGUGGCCAGAGAGGACUCGCGGCGGCGGACGGGGUCGCAACGGCGCCACGUCUGGAUAAGACAAAUCAGAGGAUCGCAUUUGAAUUCUUAUAGAUGUAGGGGUUUUUGUAAAAAGUGUAACGUUAUCUUAGAUUAAUGAGAAAAGGGACUGAGGGUUGAAUUUUCACAAAACACGAGGACUUUUAUGCAAAAUCGCUAGCGACGACGGAUGAUGGAAACCCAAUUCUCUUUGUUUUAUUAUUAGGUAAGGAUAAAGAUAUAUAUAUACAUGUAUAUAUAUACUUCCUCCGUUCCUAAAUAUUUGUCUUUCUAGACAUUUCAAAUAACUACUACAUACAGAUGUAUGUAGACAUAUUUUAGAGUGUAGAGUCACUCAUUUUGCUCCGUAUAUAGUCACUUGUUGAAAUGC
rnacentral:lncRNA from 1 species